AGCAGUGGCUGUGAAUGUUGGCAGGACUCUCCUGUUCCUGCUCCUGCUCCUGGCUGUCAUCGGAGGCUGUCACUUGUGGCACCACCAGGCUACCAGGAAGCUCCAGGACAGGCAAAACACCCCCAGCACACAAAAUGAAAAAUACCAGAUGACAACACUCUUUCACCAAUCUGGAAAGGAUGACAAAUUCAGAAAGUCUUUCCUGGGAGUGGUUGCUCUGUUGUCGCUCCCUCCGGUACUGGGUAUAGCUGCUGCAGCCACAAGAUGCAAACUCUUGGUGUUUCCCAGGUGCCAGUCUGGAGCAGGUUUGAAUGGUUCUGAAAAAAAGGAAAGGAAAAACAGUCCAUGGAAAGAUUUGGACUGUUAGCUAAACUAACUAACAAGCAGAAGCAAAAAGCAAAAGCAAAGCAGGAGCACAGCAGAAGCAAGAGCAAGAGCAAAGCAAAAAGCAACAGCCGCACUAUGUACUGACCCAUCUCUGUGUCUCGCCGUCUGUGAAGGAGAAGAUUGAUAACAAACCAAAACAAAACAUUCACUCUUCAGAGCCAGUUCUGUCCAGCAUAAACAGAACACACAACUGGGGAUACAAGCAUCAUAACAUCACCUUAGCACAAGGGUUUAUUUGACUUCUUAUCCUGCUCUGAUUUUGUUGGCAAUAAAUUAAAUUAAUAUCUCUGAUUCUGAGGCGGUUUCUCUUGUACCAGGAUUUGAUGAGUGACCUCUCCUGGUCCUUGUCUCAACCCAGGAACCCUUAGUUCAAUUUUCUCUCCCCAUCCAGGUGUGGAGGGCAGGGAAAGAGCGGCUGUGCUGGCUGCGGGGCAUCCAGCCAUUGUCCAUACACAACAAGGCCAGAAGGAGGAGGAGGGUCCAGGUCAGGCUGUUGAGCAGAUUGGUAAGGGAUUUGAAGUAGUUCUGGUGCUCUCUCAGUCCCUUGAUGACAGGGACAAAAUGAUCAAUUGCUGCAUUUCUGGAGUGGUUCCCUCGCAGUUGGCCUUGCAGGGAGGGUUCCAGCCAGCCCUGUUCUGAAAACCAUCCAAGGACCUCUCAGAGCCACUGCUCGGGCUCCCUUUGCGUUUUGUGCUUCCUGUAGGGCUGAGCAAACCACAGGCAGGCCUUCCCCCCAGAA